UACGAGGGGUCCUAGCGUUGUUCGGAAUCACUGGGCGUAAAGCGUAUGUAGGCGGACUUUUAAGUCAGGUGUGAAAUCCCAUGGCUCAACCUGGAAUUGCAUUUGAAACUGAAAAGUCUUGAGUGUGGGAGAGAUUGGUAGAAUACCUGGUGUAGUGGUGAAAUACGUAGAUAUCAGGUGGAAUACCGGUGGCGAAGGCGCAAUGGCC
rnacentral:rRNA from 1 species